GACGAACGCUGGCGGCGUGCCUAAUACAUGCAAGUUGAGCGAUGAAGAUUGGUGCUUGCACCAAUUUGAAGAGCAGCGAACGGGUGAGUAACGCGUGGGGAAUCUGCCUUUGAGCGGGGGACAACAUUUGGAAACGAAUGCUAAUACCGCAUAACCACUUUAAACAUAAGUUUUAAGUUUGAAAGAUGCAAUUGCAUCACUUAAAGAUGAUCCCGCGUUGUAUUAGCUAGUUGGUGAGGUAAAGGCUCACCAAGGCGAUGAUACAUAGCCGACCUGAUAGGGUGAUCGGCCACAAUGGGACUGAGAACCGGCCCAAACUCCUACGGGAGGCAGCAGUAGGGAAUCUUCGGCAAUUGACGAAAGUCUGACCGAGCAACGCCGCGUGAGUGAAGAAGGUUUUCGGAUCGUAAAACUCUGUUGGUAGAGAAGAACGUUGGUGAGAGUGGAAAGCUCAUCAAGUGACGGUAACUACCCAGAAAGGGACGGCUAACUACGUG
rnacentral:rRNA from 1 species